UACGGGGGGGGCAAGCGUUGUUCGGAAUUACUGGGCGUAAAGGGCUCGUAGGCGGCCCACUAAGUCAGACGUGAAAUCCCUCGGCUUAACCGGGGAACUGCGUCUGAUACUGGAUGGCUUGAGUUCGGGAGAGGGAUGCGGAAUUCCAGGUGUAGCGGUGAAAUGCGUAGAUAUCUGGAGGAACACCGGUGGCGAAGGCGGCAUCCUGGACAGACACUGACACUGAGACGCGAAAGCGUGGGGAGCAAACAGG
rnacentral:rRNA from 1 species